UAUUCUGCCCCAUGGGGAAGGAUGAGAAGCUUCGACUAAGGUUCGACUCGAGCGAAGCGAGAGAACGUUGCCGCAGGCAACGGCCCGAAGGGCGAGGCGCUUUAGCGCCGAG
rnacentral:sRNA from 1 species